UACGUAGGGGGCAAGCGUUGUCCGGAUUUAUUGGGCGUAAAGAGCGUGUAGGCGGCCAGGUAGGUCGGUUGUGAAAACUGGAGGCUUAACCUUCAGACGUCGACCGAAACCAUCUGGCUAGAGUCCGGAAGAGGAGAGUGGAAUUCCUGGUGUAGCGGUGAAAUGCGCAGAUAUCAGGAAGAACACCCGUGGCUAAGGCGGCUCUCUAGUACGGUACUGACGCUGAGACGCGAAAGCGUGGGGAGCAAACAGG
rnacentral:rRNA from 1 species